UUAUAAAAGAUUAGUGUGUGUUGCAUGCCUACAAAUUACCUCUGCUACCGGUGAGUUUAGCCAGUCGAGCCUGUGCUUAUGUGUUCAUGAUCACAUAGAUCUAUAAAUUCGUUCUAUUUUGUUUUUAAACUCACCGCGGGAAUUCCUUGGUUCCUUUUUACUUUACACUUUCUCGAACAUAAAAAUAUCCAAACAUAUUUGAAUUUGUCAAUCGACAUCAUCACCAAUAUAUGAACUGACACAUUAAUAUUAUAACUAGUUAUAAUGAAAAUGAUUGUGUCAAUUUUGACAGUUAUUUGUGUAUUUAGUGUUGUUAGUGGACAAAAUAAUAAAUAUUACAGCAAUUCAGACACCAUCUUCUUCCCAGACUCAGUGAAUCCUUUGCAAAGUCCAAGAAUAACAGCAGUUUCAAAAAGCAGAAGUUUAGAUGAAAUUGAUAACUCAGUACAGAAAUCAUUGUUACUAGCUAAGGAAAUGAAUAAAUUGGAUUCCCUUGAAGAUUUUCUUGGUUUGGUAUCUGGAAUUCCGGAAUCUGAAGAAAUGUUUUUCGUCAAUCGAAUGGGAGGUGAGAGAUCAUCAGCUAUCAAACCAAAACCAGCAAAAUGCAUGGUAGAACUUCAAUCUGUUUCAUUAGUCCCAGAGAAUCAUGAUCCUUCUACUGUUUACAUACCAUCAUGUACACGCAUCAAGAGAUGUGGUGGAUGUUGUAAUCAUUCAUUACUAUCUUGCCAACCUGUUCGUAAUACAACGGAGACACGUAAUUUUGAGGUUCUUAUAUCGAAAAUUGAUAUAAGUGGAAAAUUAAAGUAUGCUGGGAAAAAAGUAAUACCAUUGGACGAACACACACAAUGUGAAUGUAGCUGCAAAAUUAAGCCUGAGCAUUGCUCAAGAGGUCAUACUUACAGUGAAUCAGAAUGUCAGUGUAUCUGUAAAAAUACUGAUGAAGAAGAGAAAUGUAAGAAUCAUAGUAUGAAGCUUUGGGAUCCUGAAACAUGUUCAUGCGCUUGCAGAUAUCAAUCUGAAUGUAGCAGUGGACUUUUUUUCAAUUUAAACACGUGCAGGUGUGAAUCCGUACAAUAGAAAUCUCCAUAAGUCGUCAUUGGGUUUUCCACAAGUCUUUUUGGUGGCUGGUGUUUCACUACUUUGUGAUUUCGUGUGAAAGACGAGGAUUUUCCGUUCAAGAAUGGUAUGAAAAUGAUAGAAGGGUUGACUACUCACUGAGACGAACAAAUCAAAGAGAACAUCCAAUUAUAAUAACUCUUGAUGCGUCGGAUCCAAGGAGAAAACAUAAAGAUG